rnacentral:rRNA from 1 species
CGUAGGGACCGAGCGUUGUCCGGAUUCAUUGGGCGUAAAGAGCUCGUAGGCGGCCACUCAAGUCGAUUGUGAAACCUCGAGGCUUAACCUCGAGCCUGCAUUCGAUACUGGGCGGCUAGAGUCUGGUAGGGGGAUCUGGAAUUCCUGGUGUAGCGGUGGAAUGCGCAGAUAUCAGGAGGAACACCGGUGGCGAAGGCGGGAUCCUGGGCCAGUACUGACGCUGAGGAGCGAAAGCGUGGGGAGCAAACAGGAUUAGAUACCCUGGUAGUCCACGCCGUAAACGAUGGGCGCUAGGUGUGGGAGGUCAUCGACUCCUUCCGUGCCGCAGCUAACGCAUUAAGCGCCCCGCCUGGGGAGUACGGCCGCAAGGCUA